rnacentral:RNase_P_RNA from 1 species
CGAGCCGACCGGGCGGUCGCGUCGCGUGCCGGCGACGGCGCGCGCCGAGGAAAGUCCGGGCUCCACAGGGCAGGGUGGUUGCUAACGGCAACCCGGGGCGACCCGCGGGACAGUGCCACAGAAAGCAGACCGCCGGCGCGCGAGCGCCGGUAAGGGUGAAACGGCGGUGUAAGAGACCACCAGCGACCCGGGUGACCGGGGCGGCUCGGCAAACCCCACCCGGAGCAAGGUCAGAAGGGUCGGCCCUGGCCGGCCCGCGCAGGCGUUCGAGGGCGGCCCGCCCGAGCCUGCGGGUGGACCGCUAGAGCCUGUCGGCGACGGCAGGCCGAGAUGGAUGGCCGCCCCCGCGCGCUCCCGGCGCGCGGGACAGGACCCGGCUUACACGUCGGCUCGUCCG